rnacentral:lncRNA from 1 species
CUGUUGGACAGGUUGAUUGGCGCUUCCAUGCGAUUGGAUUUGAUUGGGGAGAGAGGGGAAGAAGGAAUGCAUCUCUUGUCGGGGUUUCUCUGAGGAGAGGAACAAUAACCCUAGCAAUGCAGAGUGGCGAAGAGGAGAGGCGAGAGGAAAGGGUAACGGAAGAGUGCUUGUCUUUUUUCUGGUAGAAACCGGAAGGAUUGGAAAAAAGAGUCAGGAACUGAGGGUGGAGUUUGGUGGGGAGUUCUUCCUCUCGUGUUGUUGAAAGAGAAAAGUCUAGGACGAGGUCUCCCGCCGGCCGCCGGAGAGAAGCCACCGGGAGAGGUUUAG